rnacentral:misc_RNA from 1 species
CUUGCGUUUUAAGGUGCCAAAGUAGAAUCUACUGUGUAUGAAGCAAAUUAGAAUUCAUUUAUUAGGAAAAUAACAAAAGAGCAUAUACACACUUACCACAUGCAUAUGUGUUAUUGCAGUUAUCAUUGCAUAAAAGAGAGAAGCAUACUUUUGAAGGAGUAGAAUAGGCUUUAACUAAUAGAUUAAACCUGAAUAAUGAUGAUUGAACUUAAUUUUAUCUUUGUGGUUGACUUUGAUAUCAUAUUGAUAAAAUGUAUCGGGUUAAAUUCUAUCCUAAAAAGUACUUUACGAGAAGAGAAUUAUCCAACUGAUGUGAGACUCAACCAGUUAGGUGAUUGGAAUGAAAGUUUGGAGUGAUUAUGAUCUCCUUCAUAGGUGACAACUAACAUAGUGGGAUCCUGUAAACAUCGUUCCACAUGCUUUCUUGCAGGGCAUCCCCUCAUGCUGCUGCAUUUGUAAUAGCUCCUGGGAUAAGGGGAUCCUUUUAUGGGCUUCUGUCCAUAUUUUCUCCAAGUGUAAUCAUCUGGAGGUAUCUCAGCUAAUUUGCCACUUAAAGCCGGGACUUGAAUUAUUUUCUUGAUUCUUGAUUUCCUUCGCUUAGAACAGUGACAUUCACCGGUUGAGGCUCGGCACUUGGCACUGGUCUCCUCACUCAUAAUCCCACUCGUGCUCUUUGGAAACACAGAGGAAUUGUCUCGAGAUCCCAGAGUUUCAGAUGCUGAAUAAUGAACUAAUCGCUUGUCUGGGCCACCUCUUCUAUCCAAGCUUAAAAAAGAUGUGCCUGGCUGUGAUAAUGAGAGGUUCGAUACGGUCAAACUGUUUGUGACAUCCACAUUGGCUUUAGACUUAUUUCUUUUCCUGUCAAAGCUGAAACUAUUGAUAGGGAUCAAGGAAUUGGUUGCUUGAAUACUCUGAAGAGGGAAUAGUUGUCUAAUUAUAUGAGGUCUGGGUUGGGUAGUCAAGUUGCAUCCUGAGCUCUGGGGCACAGAACUAGGACAAUCCAUCAAUUCAACUGGAUCUAUGUCAUAGGAAAGUGGCAAAGGACCUUUCCUGAUCCUUUUAGGAUCCGACUGUGAUGAUCCAUCAAGGAGAGUGAGUAGAUAUCUGAAUUCAUUGACUGCACCUUGAGCAAUCAGGCUCACUUCAUGAAUGCUUCUCUUUCGAUUUUUAUCAGAAAUACAGCUGAACAAAUGAUAAGCUUGCUUGAAAGUACUCUGUGCAGCCUCGAGAACUUUGAAAUCCCAUCUUGGGGUCAUUGAAAUACAGACACCUGAAGUUUCCUUCAUGCUAUAAUGAUACCUUUUUCUAAUUCAAUCCACCUGAUGAAGGACUCAAAGGUGGCAAAAGCUAAGAAUUUAGAUGGUUAUAUUCUGCCAUAGCUAAGGUAGGCUUGAUCAUGUGAACAAUAGUCCUAUAGAUACAAAGGCUGUAGUUUCUGAUAAUACCCAUGUAAGAGAAAACACAGAUGAGUCAAGCAAUUAAGUGACUGCAAAAUGUACCCAACCCAGUUAUUGAAGCAUUCUCUUUUUGUUUUUUUGGGGAUGUAUACAACUGAUCAAAUCGAACAAGC